GCCGGGAUGGCGAAAUCUGGUAAACGCGAUGGUCCCAAACACCAUUGUCCGAAAGGAUUUGCGGGUUCGAAUCCCGCUCCCGGCA
rnacentral:tRNA from 1 species